CUUUAGCAACAUAAGUAUUAAAGGUCCUGCCUGCCCAGUGAAACUUAUUAAACGGCCGCGGUAUUCUAACCGUGCAAAGGUAGCGUAAUCAUUUGUCUUCUAAAUAAAGACCAGUAUGAAUGGCUAAAUGAGGACAGACCUGUCUCCUACAACCUAUCAGUGAAACUGAUCUUCCAGUCCAAAAGCUGGAAUAACCACAUAAGACGAGAAGACCCUGUGGAGCUUUAAACCAUCCACUAAUAAGCCAAAUCUUUAACUAGUACAAGGUUUUAAGUUGGGGCGACUUCGGAACAAAACAAAACUUCCGAGCACAGAACCACCAAUUCUAACCAAGGCCAACAAGCCAAAGCACAAACUUGACCCAGUCCUACUGAUCAACGAACCAAGUUACCCCAGGGAUAACAGCGCAAUCUUCUUUAAGAGUCCAUAUCGACAAGAAGGUUUACGACCUCGAUGUUGGAUCAGGACACCCAAAUGGUGCAGCCGCUAUUAAAGGUUCGUUUGUUCAACGAUUAACAGUCCUACGUGAUCUGAGUUCAGACCGGAGUAAUCCAGGUCGGU
rnacentral:rRNA from 1 species